ensembl:misc_RNA Metazoa_SRP Metazoan signal recognition particle RNA
GCCGGGCGUGGUGGCUCAUGCCUGUAAUCCCAGCACUUUGGGAGGCCGAGGUGGGUGGAUCACUUGAGGCCAGGAGUCCCAGCCUGGCCAACAUGGUGAAACUCCAUCUCUA